rnacentral:rRNA from 1 species
CUAGUUGGCGAGGUAACGGCUCACCAAGGCAACGACGGGUAGCUGGUCUGAGAGGAUGGCCAGCCACAUUGGGACUGAGAUACGGCCCAGACUCCUACGGGAGGCAGCAGUGGGGAAUCUUGCGCAAUGGCCUAACGGCUGACGCAGCGACGCCGCGUGUGGGAUGAAGCUCCUCGGAGUGUAAACCACUGUUGCCCGGGACGAAUAGCUCGAUUAAUCGAGCCUGACAGUACCGGGUGAGGAAGCACCGGCUAACUCCGUGCCAGCAGCCGCGGUAAUACGGGGGGUGCGAGCGUUGUCCGGAAUCACUGGGCGUAAAGGGCGCGUAGGUGGUUUGAUAAGGGUGUGGUGAAAGUCCGGGGCUCAACCCCGGAUCUGCCGUGCCGACUGUCAAACUCGAGGACUGUAGAGGCAGACGGAAUUCCGGGUGUAGCGGUGGAAUGCGUAGAGAUCCGGAGGAAGACCGGUGGCGAAGGCGGUCUGCUGGGCAGUUUCUGACACUGAUGCGCGACAGCGUGGGGAGCAAACAGGAUUAGAUACCCUGGUAGUCCACGCCGUAAACGAUGGGUACUAGGUGCCUGGGGGAGCGACCCUCUGGGUGCCGGCGCUAACGCAGGAAGUACCCCGCCUGGGGAGUACGACCGCAAGGUUGAAACUCAAAGGAAUUGACG